CCAAACACGACGUUCUCACAAAAAGCCACAUCGUUUCGUCGCGCGCAAAACCGGACCACAACGCGCGACAAACAACUGGGGGGCAAAUGACUACCUUUCUGACUGCUGUUAUAAAGUAGUUCCUUAAACAAAAUGAAUUAUUCGCAACGGAAAGCCGAUAGGUAUCUGAUGCGCUUUCGUUUCAAGACAGUGUUAAAUUCUCACCAUGAAAGUUCAGCACCAGGCAAAGAUAAUAGCUUUUGCACAGGGAAGCAUGGAGUAAACGUGUGUGUGACCAACCGCUUACUGACCCCGCUGACCCCAGACCACCUGCAGUCCGUGGCACUGAGUGUCCCAGGCCUCUACGCACAAUUUCAGCAGUACCCAGCAGACACAGGCCUGUACCACUGUGGAGAGCUGCAGAUCUACAGGCUACCCAACGUCACACUAGAGGGAGACUGCAGGGAGCCUGGGAAAGACUCACCCAUUCCAGACCUCUCUGCAAUUAAGAAUGGUGAAGCAGUGAGAGGAUCUGAGCAGAAGAGUGGGUCUGCAAGCUUGAGGGAAGUCAGUAUCUCAAAUUGCGGCGAUGUGCACUCCCAGAUCAGUGAUGCGGACGAGUACUACACCUGUUCCUCUCCCGACACGGCGCCCUCAGAGGUCACAGAGAGUGACGGCUUUCACUCUGCCUGUGGUAACCUCUCGUCCCCAGGAUUUGCCGGCAAAGACGACGAUGAGCAGGUCUCUGUGGAGUUCAAAGGUCAGAGAUACCUACGCCUGCUGACCCCCGCGAAAGGCAGGGAGGAGGACAUGGAAGCCAGCUGGGUGGUCACAGACUUCACAGAGGCUGGGGAGGAGUUGGUGUUCUCCCUGUGGCUGGACUUCAUCCGGCCCCAGCCGGUGGUGCCACACUGGAUGAAGGACCUGGAGGAGGAGAGCAUGUGACAUGAAAGGAAGCACUGACCAGCUAUUACCAUUCAGCUUCAGUGGUGGAAGUUUAAUAAACAUUUGCAUUUGCCCAAA
ensembl:lncRNA